GUUUGUGUUACUCCGGUAGCAUACAUAUACUAAAAUUGGAACGAUACCAGAGAAGAUUUAGCAUGGCCCCUGCGCACGGAUGACACGCAAAUUCGUGAAGGUUCCUUCUUUUCU
rnacentral:snRNA from 1 species